rnacentral:misc_RNA from 1 species
GAUGAAGAACGCAGCGAAAUGCGAUACUUGGUGUGAAUUGCAGAAUCCCGUGAACCAUCGAGUCUUUGAACGCAAGUUGCGCCCGAAGCCAUUAGGCCGAGGGCACGCCUGCCUGGGCGUCACACGUCGUUGCCCCCCCAUCUACUCCUUCGGGAUUGCGGGGGGCGGAUGAUGGCCUCCCGUGCGCCUCGUCGCGCGGUUGGCAUAAAUGCCAAGUCCUCGGCGACGCACGCCACGACAAUCGGUGGUUGCGAAACCUCGGUUGCCCGUCGUGUGCGGUCGUCGCGCAUCGAGGGCUCGAAAAAAUUGCCGGGCUCCGGCUCGGCUUUCAACGCGACCCCGGGUCAGGCGGGGUUACCCGCUGAAUUUAAGCAUAUCAAUAAGCGGAGGA